GCCUCCGUAGCUCAGUUGGUAGCAGCAAUUGGACCAGUGUUACAAGAGGUCGCAAGUUCGAAUCUUGCCGGAGGUCA